ensembl:snoRNA
UAUUUAUGAUGAUACUAUCCCGAACCUGAAUUCCUGUUGAAAAACUCCACAUUACGGAUCUGGCUUCUGAGAU